rnacentral:rRNA from 1 species
UUAAGUUAGAAAGGGCGCACGGUGGAUGCCUUGGCACUAGGAGCCGAUGAAGGACGGGACGAACACCGAUAUGCUUCGGGGAGCUGUAAGCAAGCUUUGAUCCGGAGAUUUCCGAAUGGGGAAACCCACCACUCGUAAUGGAGUGGUAUCCAUAUCUGAAUACAUAGGAUAUGAGAAGGCAGACCCGGGGAACUGAAACAUCUAAGUACCCGGAGGAAGAGAAAGCAAAUGCGAUUCCCUGAGUAGCGGCGAGCGAAACGGGACCAGCCCAAACCAAGAGGCUUGCCUCUUGGGGUUGUAGGACACUCUGUACGGAGUUACAAAGGAACGAGGUAGAUGAAGAGGUCUGGAAAGGCCCGCCAUAGAAGGUAACAGCCCUGUAGUCAAAACUUCGUUCUCUCCUGAGUGGAUCCUGAGUACGGCGGAACACGUGAAAUUCCGUCGGAAUCCGGGAGGACCAUCUCCCAAGGCUAAAUACUCCCUAGUGACCGAUAGUGAACCAGUACCGUGAGGGAAAGGUGAAAAGCACCCCGGAAGGGGAGUGAAAGAGAUCCUGAAACCGUGUGCCUACAAGUAGUCAGAGCCCGUUAAUGGGUGAUGGCGUGCCUUUUGUAGAAUGAACCGGCGAGUUACGAUCCCGUGCAAGGUUAAGCAGAAGAUGCGGAGCCGCAGCGAAAGCGAGUCUGAAUAGGGCGAAUUGAGUACGUGGUCGUAGACCCGAAACCAGGUGAUCUACCCAUGUCCAGGGUGAAGUUCAGGUAACACUGAAUGGAGGCCCGAACCCACGCACGUUGAAAAGUGCGGGGAUGAGGUGUGGGUAGGGGUGAAAUGCCAAUCGAACCUGGAGAUAGCUGGUUCUCUCCGAAAUAGCUUUAGGGCUAGCCUCAAGGUAAGAGUCUCGGAGGUAGAGCACUGAUUGGACUAGGGGCCCCUACCGGGUUACCGAAUUCAGUCAAACUCCGAAUGCCGAUGACUUAUCCUUGGGAGUCAGACUGCGAGUGAUAAGAUCCGUAGUCGAAAGGGAAACAGCCCAGACCGCCAGCUAAGGUCCCAAAGUAUACGUUAAGUGGAAAAGGAUGUGGAGUUGCUUAGACAACCAGGAUGUUGGCUUAGAAGCAGCCACCAUUUAAAGAGUGCGUAAUAGCUCACUGGUCGAGUGACUCUGCGCCGAAAAUGUACCGGGGCUAAACGUAUCACCGAAGCUGCGGACUGUUCUUCGAACAGUGGUAGGAGAGCGUUCUAAGGGCUGUGAAGCAAGACCGGAAGGACUUGUGGAGCGCUUAGAAGUGAGAAUGCCGGUAUGAGUAGCGAAAGAGGGGUGAGAAUCCCCUCCACCGAAUGCCUAAGGUUUCCUGAGGAAGGCUCGUCCGCUCAGGGUUAGUCGGGACCUAAGCCGAGGCCGAAAGGCGUAGGCGAUGGAUAACAGGUUGAUAUUCCUGUACCACCUCCUCACCAUUUGAGCAAUGGGGGACGCAGGAGGAUAGGGUAAGCGCGGUAUUGGAUAUCCGCGUCCAAGCAGUUAGGCUGGGAAAUAGGCAAAUCCGUUUCCCGUGAAGGCUGAGCUGUGAUGGCGAGCGAAUUAUAGUAGCGAAGUUCCUGAUUCCACACUGCCAAGAAAAGCCUCUAGCGAGGUGAGAGGUGCCCGUACCGCAAACCGACACAGGUAGGCGAGGAGAGAAUCCUAAGGUGAUCGAGAGAACUCUCGUUAAGGAACUCGGCAAAAUGACCCCGUAACUUCGGGAGAAGGGGUGCUCUGUUAGGGUGCAAGCCCGAGAGAGCCGCAGUGAAUAGGCCCAGGCGACUGUUUAGCAAAAACACAGGUCUCUGCGAAGCCGUAAGGCGAAGUAUAGGGGCUGACGCCUGCCCGGUGCUGGAAGGUUAAGAGGAGCGCUUAGCGUAAGCGAAGGUGCGAAUUGAAGCCCCAGUAAACGGCGGCCGUAACUAUAACGGUCCUAAGGUAGCGAAAUUCCUUGUCGGGUAAGUUCCGACCCGCACGAAAGGCGCAACGAUCUGGGCACUGUCUCAACGAGAGACUCGGUGAAAUUAUAGUACCUGUGAAGAUGCAGGUUACCCGCGACAGGACGGAAAGACCCCGUGGAGCUUUACUGCAGCCUGAUAUUGAAUGUUGGUACAGCUUGUACAGGAUAGGUAGGAGCCUUGGAAACCGGAGCGCCAGCUUCGGUGGAGGCAUCGGUGGGAUACUACCCUGGCUGUAUUGACCUUCUAACCCGCCGCCCUUAUCGGGCAGGGAGACAGUGUCAGGUGGGCAGUUUGACUGGGGCGGUCGCCUCCUAAAAGGUAACGGAGGCGCCCAAAGGUUCCCUCAGAAUGGUUGGAAAUCAUUCGCAGAGUGUAAAGGCACAAGGGAGCUUGACUGCGAGACCUACAAGUCGAGCAGGGACGAAAGUCGGGCUUAGUGAUCCGGUGGUUCCGCAUGGAAGGGCCAUCGCUCAACGGAUAAAAGCUACCCCGGGGAUAACAGGCUUAUCUCCCCCAAGAGUCCACAUCGACGGGGAGGUUUGGCACCUCGAUGUCGGCUCAUCGCAUCCUGGGGCUGUAGUCGGUCCCAAGGGUUGGGCUGUUCGCCCAUUAAAGCGGUACGCGAGCUGGGUUCAGAACGUCGUGAGACAGUUCGGUCCCUAUCCGUCGCGGGCGCAGGAAAUUUGAGAGGAGCUGUCCUUAGUACGAGAGGACCGGGAUGGACGCACCGCUGGUGUACCAGUUGUUCUGCCAAGGGCAUCGCUGGGUAGCUAUGUGCGGACGGGAUAAGUGCUGAAAGCAUCUAAGCAUGAAGCCCCCCUCAAGAUGAGAUUUCCCAUUCCGCAAGGAAGUAAGAUCCCUGAAAGAUGAUCAGGUUGAUAGGUCUGAGGUGGAAGUGUGGCGACACAUGGAGCUGACAGAUACUAAUCGAUCGAGGACUUAACC